rnacentral:rRNA from 1 species
AUUGAACGCUGGCGGCAGGCUUAACACAUGCAAGUCGAGCGGAGAUGAGGUGCUUGCACCUUAUCUUAGCGGCGGACGGGUGAGUAAUGCUUAGGAAUCUGCCUAUUAGUGGGGGACAACAUUCCGAAAGGAAUGCUAAUACCGCAUACGUCCUACGGGAGAAAGCAGGGGAUCUUCGAACCUUGCGCUAAUAGAUGAGCCUAGGUCGGAUUAGCUAGUUGGUGGGGUAAGGGCCUACCAAGGCGACGAUCUGUAGCGGGUCUGAGAGGAUGAUCCGCCACACUGGGACUGAGACACGGCCCAGACUCCUACGGGAGGCAGCAGUGGGGAAUAUUGGACAAUGGGGGGAACCCUGAUCCAGCCAUGCCGCGUGUGUGAAGAAGGCCUUAUGGUUGUAAAGCACUUUAAGCGAGGAGGAGGCUACUGAGACUAAUACUCUUGGAUAGUGGACGUUACUCGCAGAAUAAGCACCGGCUAACUCUGUGCCAGCCGCCGCAGUAAAAC